CCUGGGAAUCGUCCAGGACGGUCGUCCGGAGUGAAGUUGCCGCGCGAAUAUAUGAAUCUGCAAGAAGAAAAGAUCACAUAAUCACCUUCUCGCGAUUUAACCGCGGUAGAACCGCGAAAUCGAUGUAGCAAAAGAUCUAAAAAUUGAAAAAUAUUCAUCAAGAAAUCUUCUGAAAUGAAACUGAAGACUCAAUUGAAGAAUCAUGGCACUUAUCUGUUACAAACGGGACAAAAUAACUAAGUAAAUGGUAUUAUCUACUAUUUAUCUAUUAAAGAUAAAGUACUUAUCUGUUAUGGAUGACUAAAUGGGAAGUAACAAUCCGUUGUGUAAAGACGCUACCGGAGAAUAAAAUAUUACACAUUGAAUUACGCAA